rnacentral:rRNA from 1 species
UACGUAGGGGGCAAGCGUUGUCCGGAUUUAUUGGGCGUAAAGAGCGUGUAGGCGGUCUGGUAGGUCCGUUGUGAAAACUCGAGGCUCAACCUCGAGACGCCGAUGGAAACCCUCAGACUAGAGUCCGGAAGAGGAGAGUGGAAUUCCUGGUGUAGCGGUGAAAUGCGCAGAUAUCAGGAGGAACACCGGUGGCGAAGGCGGGUCUCUGGGCAACUACUGACGCUGAGGAGCGAAAGCGUGGGGAGCGAACAGG